GUCCUUGUAGAGCAAUGGUUAGCGUGUUGAAUUUCCAAUUCAAAGGUAGUGGGCUCGAUUCCCACCUGGGAUG